AAUAGAUAUUUUAACCUGCGCAAUACAACAAAAUCAAUUCAAUUGCCCAUGAUUAAACCGUUUUAAUCAUAUCUAUAGUGUGUAAUUACAUUAACUGUUUGUGUGCGCACAUCCACUGUCACAGAUAAGUGCGAAUCGUUUGCGUUCGUUUUUAAUUAACAUUGGCGCUAUUGCCAUAUGCAAUAAACCAAUAAACACUUGUUUAGCAUUUGGCCGGCGCUAAGUAUCUGAGCUAAUAUUCAGCAAUGUAAACAUGGUGUCAAAUCAAGGACAAAAUACUAAAGAUAAUUGUUAUCCACUUAAAAUCUAACACCAAAACAAUUUAAACUUAAAUAUUAAUAAGUGAACACAAAUGAAAAAUUAAACAUGAAAUAUUGAAGAAGUUUAUGGAUUUAAGUUAAAUCUUUUAUUAAAUUGUGUGAUAACUUGAGAUAAACUAUGUUAAACUGUAUUUUUAUCUUUUAAUUUUUAUUUUUAUUAUGUAAUCACAUAAUAGAUUAAUAUAUAUGUUUUAAAAUUGAUAUUAAA